rnacentral:rRNA from 1 species
UACGUAGGGUGCAAGCGUUGUCCGGAAUUAUUGGGCGUAAAGAGCUCGUAGGCGGUUUGUCGCGUCUGCUGUGAAAACCCGAGGCUCAACCUCGAGCCUGCAGUGGGUACGGGCAGACUAGAGUGCGGUAGGGGAGAUUGGAAUUCCUGGUGUAGCGGUGGAAUGCGCAGAUAUCAGGAGGAACACCGAUGGCGAAGGCAGAUCUCUGGGCCGUAACUGACGCUGAGGAGCGAAAGCAUGGGGAGCGAACAGG